rnacentral:rRNA from 1 species
GAGAAAGUUACUUAAGGGCGUAUGGGGAAUGCCUAGGCUCUCAGAGGCGAAGAAGGACGUGCCAAGCUGCGAUAAACUACGGGGAUCUGCUGAGAAGAUUUGAUCCGUAGGUGUCCGAAUGGGGAAACCCGAUAUUCUGAAGGGAUAUCAUCCGAAAGGAAGCGAACCCCGGGAACUGAAACAUCUAAGUACCGGGAGGAAGAGAAAACAAAUAGUGAUUCCGUAAGUAGUGGCGAGCGAACGCGGAAGAGCCCAAACCUAAAUUGUUAAGGCAAUUUAGGGGUUGUAGGACCACAAUGUUAGUGCGUAAAUGAACUUAAACUACAUGGGAAGGUAGACCAGAGAAGGUGAAAGUCCUGUCAAGGAAAGUUUGCGUAUUAUAGUGGUAUCCUGAGUAGGGCGGGGUUGGAGACGCCCCGUCUGAAUCUGCCAGCACCAUCUGGUAAGGCUAAAUACUACUGAGAGACCGAUAGUGAACCAGUACUGUGAAGGAAAGGUGAAAAGUACCCUGAAUAAGGGGGUGAAAUAGAACCUGAAACCGUACGCUUACAACCUGUCGGAGGGGUUAUUGCCCUGACGGCGUGCCUUUUGCAUAAUGAGCCUACGAGUUACUCCUCACUGGCAAGGUU